rnacentral:rRNA from 1 species
GACGAACGCUGGCGGCGUGCUUAACACAUGCAAGUCGAACGGAAAGGCCCUGCUUGCCGGGUUCUCGAGUGGCGAACGGGUGAGUAACACGUGGGUGGUCUGCCCUGCACUUCGGGAUAAGCCUGGGCAACUGGGUCUAAUACCGGAUAGGAGCCAUUUUUAGCGUGAUGGUUGGAAAGUUUUUUUCGGUGUAGGAUGAGCUCGCGGCCUAUCAGCUUGUUGGUGGGGUAAUGGCCUACCAAGGCGGCUACGGGUAGCCGGCCUGAGAGGGUGGACGGCCACAUUGGGACUGAGAUACGGCCCAGACUCCUACGGGAGGCAGCAGUGGGGAAGAUUGCACAAUGGGCGCAAGCCUGAUGCAGCGACGCCGCGUGGGGGAUGACGGCCUUCGGGUUGUAAACUCCUUUCGCUAGGGACGAAGCUUUUUGUGACGGUACCUAGAGAAGAAGCACCGGCUAACUACGUG